AACCUCCGCAAUGUGAGAAAUCGCGACGGGGGGAUCCCAAGUGCCAUUCUUAACGGGAUGGCUUUUCAUUAGUGUAAAGAGCUUUUGGAAUAAGAGCUGGGCAAGACCGGUGCCAGCCGCCGCGGUAACACCGGCAGCUCUAGUGGUAGCAAUUUUUAUUGGGCCUAAAGCGUCCGUAGCCGGUUUAAUAAGUCUCUGGUGAAAUCCUGCAGCUUAACUGUGGGAAUUGCUGGAGAUACUAUUGGACUUGAGAUCGGGAGAGGUUAGAGGUACUCCCAGGGUAGAGGUGAAAUUCUGUAAUCCUGGGAGGACCGCCUGUUGCGAAGGCGUCUAACUGGAACGAUUCUGACGGUGAGGGACGAAAGUUAGGGGCGCGAACCGGAUUAGAUACCCGGGUAGUCCUAACUGUAAACGAUGCGGACUUGGUGUUGGGGUGGCUUUGAGCUGUCCCAGUGCCGAAGGGAAGCUGUUAAGUCCGCCGCCUGGGAAGUACGGUCGCAAGACUGAAACUUAAAGGAAUU
rnacentral:rRNA from 1 species